rnacentral:rRNA from 1 species
UACGUAGGGGGCAAGCGUUGUCCGGAAUCACUGGGCGUAAAGCGCGCGCAGGCGGCUGUCUACGUCCGGGGUGAAAGCCCAGAGCUCAACUCUGGGACUGCCUUGGAUACGGGAUAGCUUGAGGAUCGGAGAGGCAAGGGGAAUUCCACGUGUAGCGGUGAAAUGCGUAGAGAUGUGGAAGAAUGCCGAAAGCGAAAGCAGUUACCUACAAUUUACCUGACGGUCAGGAACGAAAGCUUGGGGAGCAAAUGGG